UCAGAGGAGCCAACGUGUCGCUAAAGUGCAGAUAUAAUUGCCACACAGGCCAUUAGAGAUUGGCUAAUCUCUGCCACAAUACCACUCUGACAUUUACAAAAGAAGCUCCACAGCAUUGUUGAAUGGUUACACAAUUGUCAUUAUUAUACUAAGUGAAACAGUGACAGGAAACUCUAUAGACUCAUUCCCUAAUGUGACUAAAUUUCUUCUUGUACAUCUUUUAUUCAUAGAAAUAAGAAGAGGAAAAACAGAGGGACAUGUUGGCUGGUUAUUUUGGUCCAAACGCCUGUCAUUUACAUGUUCACACCAAAACCACCCACCCCCACUAAGUCAGUGUCUCAUUUGUCCCUUUUUAUAAGCACUUAUGAGUGUCUGUGAGACUGUGUGUUUGUGUCAGUGUGUCUGUGUGUGCGUGUAUAUCUGGCUUGGGCAGCUGAUUCUCUCUGCCAGAAAAUGUCCUGCAGCAAGAGUUUGGACUUGAGAAAGUGUCCGCUGCUCUGUCGAUAUGUGACACGCUGCCAAAUCGGGCAUGCAGCCACUUUCGAUUAGCAUGGUCCAAUGCUGCCCGUUCACCGCAGCAGCAUGGCCAGAAACUGAUCGAGAGCGCUGAGAGAAACUUCAUACUGCCAAAAGCAAGUUUGAGAUGCUGCAAACAGUAAAAACAAUAAUAGAGAAAUCAUAAUAAAAUACGUGCCAGCCAGUAAUUGUUGUUUGUUUGUUUGUGUGGUUGUUGUAGGCGAAAAAAUUAGCCACAAUUGGUGACAUAGUGUGUCAAUAAUCUCUGAAAUAAGGCAGAGGUUUUCCUGUUUGAAGACAGUGAGAGAUGACAUAUCAAGGAUUAAAGCUGAGAAGUCUGAACAUAUUUCCCUAUUUUAAAUGUGACACCAGCAAUGUGUUCCCAAACAAUUAGGACAGGGACAGCAAAACACUUAGAAGUUGUGUUAUGUUAAAAAUUCCUGGAGGAACAUCUCUAAAGUUUUUCAAUAAAAUUAGUUUGUUACAGGUUAGUUAUAUGACUGAGCUAUGGUCCUUGCUGCGGUGGUCGCUGACUCGACUUUCAGAGUCGACCCUUUGCUGCAUGUCCUCCUCUGCUCUCGGAAGAAGGGAUGGAGCAGAGGAGGACCCUGUUUUUAAUCAAUGCACAGGUCAAAAGCCAACAUCAGUGCUAAACAAUAUACUCAGGACAAGAAUGGGACAUAUCACUGUCAAACUACAGGAACUGGUCUCCUGGGUCUACAAAGAUUUAGUGUGUUUUUAAAAAAACAUCACAUAAAUUCACUAUUCCUAAAAUCAAAACCAUUAAAAUUCACUGACCUGGUUGACUUUAAAACAGCACAAAUCAUGUACAAAGCAAUAAACAAUCUACUGCUUGGAAAUAUCCAAAAAAUUGUUUUUUGAACAGAACUAGGGGGUAUCCUUUGAGGGGGGACUUAAACUUAAAGCAUCAGCGGGCAUGUAUAACAUUGAAAAGUUUUGGGGUUUCUGUUGGUGGAGUAAGGUGGUGGAACUGAUUAGGUAUGGAGCUCAAGCAAUGACCAAGCAUGGCCCAGUUUAAAAGGUGGUACAAACACAUGAUUCUCACCAGGUACGGGAAGGAGGAAGGGCUUAAACCUUAAGAUGUUUUCAUAAAUCAUUGAUGUUCUUACUUAUUUACUGUAUUUAUUUUGUACUUUUUGUAAAUAUAAUGUAAAAAUGUUGGAGAGACUGACCGUUAAUUGAGUAGCAGAUUAUUGUUAUUGUUGUUUUGAAUAUUGUCAUUGGUUUGUUUGUUGUCAGUUUACUUUCUUGUGUUGCAAAUGUUAAAAAAAAGUAAAAUUAUAAUAAAAAUAAAUAAAAAGAAGAGGAUAUGCACCUCAAUGGUACAUGUCCAUGUCCUAACUGUUUUAAAAUGCGUCUCUGCUUGAGAAACAAACUGAUACUGAAACUGGUGCUUUUUUAUGACCUUUAGAAGCAAACAAGACUGAACGUUUCACUGUAGCAACUAUAAACAUUUAAAACUGAUGUAAGAGGGGCUGAUUCAGACCAGAUGAUUGACAGAUAGACUGAAAACAUGGGUUUGCCUCUUUACAUGGCAAAAACUCGUAGUGUGUGAUGAAUUUUACUGAUAAAUGACAACAGAACAAGGUGCACAAACUGGGACAGGUUGAAUCACACUGUAACGGUAUGACAGGUCUGGCCAAGGACAUCGUUAUCCCCGUACUGAGCUCUUCCUGUUCCUUGACCCCUUGUGUAUUGGACUGGAUGCUACAGCAAGAGGUAGUUAGAGAGUUAGCAGGAUGUUGUUGAUAUCAAACAGCAGUAAAAACCAUUUAUUAGUAUGGGGAGACUUUGUGGAAAAACGAGAUGUGUAGUUAACACAAAUGUGCAAAAACAAUCUGAAUGGUCCUUAAAUAAUGGCUGCUCACAUGAUUAUCUUCGUGUCUUUGUUCCUCCCCUGCUCUCCUCAAACUUCGCUGUAUCAGCUAAUAAAAGAUCAAGUAAUUCUCUCUCCCUAUAUUUCACUUAUCUCUCCCAUCUCCUCUCUCUACCUCCCUUCUUUGCUCUUUCUCUGUCGGUGUUUUGGCACCUCCCUCUCCUUUUCCGCUUCUUUCCAUAACUCCCUCCAUCACGCUGCCACUAUUUAGGGGCUCAGUUAACAAGCCAUUUAAGCCUCAUCUUCUCUCCUCCCUAAUCACACAUGCAAUAUUCAUACAUGGCUGUCACUCACGCAGACACAUUAGGGCUCUCAUUCUUUCUCCGCUCUCUUCUUCCCACUCUUUUUUCUGAUCCCCUAACCUCAUCUCUUCAUCCCCAACGCUCUCCUUCCUCUUCUCCUGCCCACUCUCAUCGUUCUGUCUCCCGCUUCCAUUUUCUCCCACUUCCUCUCUGCCUCUCCCUCCCUCUCACCCUUUCAAUCUCCCCCUCUCUUCCCAUCUGCGCACAUAGAAAGACUGAGACGUCUUCAGUCUUUUCAUGUGAUUGACAUGGAAGGACUGUGGUGGAAACUGUUUAUCCUUUCAUAGAGAUGCUAAAUUCAGAAUCUGCUUAUUGAUAAUAAUCUGCUGUAAUUCAGCCAUGAUGAUACAUUCAAAUAACAAAUACUCUUCUCAUAUGCAAGCAUAAACCCAAAGGACCUGCUUGGUGUUUUAAUUUGGCUGAAUAUUAAAGUCUGCAUGCUUGGUUGCCUGCAAAAUCUUUUGUUGAUGUACCCGCCAACAGCAUCCUAAGGAGGCAAAGUGUGGCUCUAAAAAUGAGUCACAGUGCUGCAAACACUGGUGUAAACACGCUGCUCCAGUAGGUUAUUAUCAACAAGGUGCAGAGUGAUAAAAUACAAAACAUCUACCCAUCUGCAGCAAGUAUUACAGGCCUUGUGUAAGGAGUGCUCACUAUGACCUCACUUCGAGCCAAACCAAUGCUCACUGCUCUCCUCAUUGCAACAACAGCUUGAGUUUGUGUAAUCAGAAGUUUGGUAUCCUACAGUGAUCCUGACUGAGGAAGAUUUUGACGUUUUUUUUCUUACAGUUGGUGAAAAAUAGUAUGAAAAGGGACCUGGUUGGUGAGUGGGGCAGACUGUUGUUGCAGAUGCCCUGCUGGUUUCUGCUGGUUCAGAAAGGUCCUGAAGAACUGUUGAUACCAAGAUUGUUCAGUUUAAGCACCUGCAACACCAGGAAAUUUAGGAUCUCUCCUUAGGAUCACUUUAGCAGAGAAGUUUCUAUUUACUAUUAUUUAGUUUGGUCGUUUUUUUGUCACUUUAAAACCCACAGACCCAAACAGAUGAUGAGUGUGCUGCAGGCAGAAGUGCAAACUGCGUUGCAUCUAAAAUCCCACUGAGCAAUAGACGGCUAUUAGACGUCUAGUUAGACGGAAUUUAGAUGUUGCAUUUUAACCCAUUAGUCAAUAAUUAUUUAUUUCAAAAAGCAACUGUGAGUUGCAUAACUGAUCUCCAAGUAAUUAACCAAAAUAAUUAUGAUUAGCAAUAUACAGCGUAGACCUCUGUUAGCCAGCUAGUCUAAACUUAGUCUAAAUUUAGAUGUAAAGAUAACUUUCAUUUUUAGACUUGUUAGCCUGAUUUUAGACCAGUUAUCUAGGCUACAUUUAGACGUCUAUUAGACUUCUUCAUGACCAGAAAAUGCUCAGUGAGAUUGUUGUAAAAAAAAUUGGACUCUCUUAAAAAUGCUGAAAAAAUCUCUACUUUUGUGAUCAAAUGAUCAAAUGAUAAGUCAUCUUAAAAAGAGUACAUGAAUGACUCAGAUCUGUUUGCAUAAACUGUAGCCUAGCUUGCCUGUCGAUUCUCCCUGCAGUUUCUCCUGAACUAGGCAGAGCUGACUAGCAUAUAUGUACCCAGACUGUUUCCCUGUUGAAGUUUUCCUAAAGUAUUUUCAGGUUUAAGGUUAAAACUUUGGGCUAACUGGAGUAUGGCAGUUGUGUUGCUCUUAAUUUAUUUUUUAAUUUUAAUGUAUUGGGUCACUGUUUAGCGGAUUCUGUCACAUUUUAAUUGGUUAAAAUUUCUCAUUAAAAGCAAUAUUCAGACAACUGUGCCAGCUAAUAAGUCUCCCUCGCUCGCUCUCUCUCCCCAUUUCUCUUGUUCGCUCCCCGUUAACGGCACAUUGCUAAUCAGCACGAGUGUGGAUGGGUAUCCAAAUGCAAUCACAGACAAUUAUGCUCCUUGCUGUGCUUGUGUGCAUUUGUGCCUAUGUGUGUGCGUUUGUCUGUGUGUGCGUGUGUACGUUUUUAGACCAUUAGGAAGUAACGCGCUGAUUAGCCGUCAACUUUUACUGCCAGACACGCAGACAACAAACAAAAAGAGGCACAAGCACACACACACACACACUCGCAGCAGACACACACAAGCCACUGUGCAUUCAGGAUACUUGUCACAGUCACGGUCAGAACAGCAGGAUACACUGCAGCUCAGUUGGUUAAUAAUAAUAUUAAGAAAAAUUAAAGCUGGAAGCUAUAUUAGCUGAAGUCCUGUCAUUAGCUGAAUUUAGUAUUUUUGUAAGUUUUUGGGUAACUUUUUUUCCACUUCCCUUUUCCUUUUACUGUAUUUUUAUGUUUGACUCUUACAGGCUUUAUUCUGCAAGUUCAGCUGCAGUCAUCCAUUUCAGCAGCACUGCGUCUCAUUGUGCUCGUGUAAAUACUGAGCAGCCCAGUCCAUUCUCACACAAGCUGACCCAGUUGUGUGACAUGCUCGCCCACCAUCUGCCACACUCUUUUAUUGUUAUUUAUACGUUAUUUUGGGAUGGUGUGCGGAGUUAUGGUAAAGAGGGAGUUCAUAAGAUAGAAGAGCUGCUAUAGUUGGGGAAAAAGUUUGUGUCCUCGGAAUGGUAAUAAGACACAUUUAUUCUGCAACACAGCACAAAAUGACCACUCUGAGUUAUUGUAUGUAUGUGGUAAUUUGUUAUUGUUCGGAGAUGGUGAGUCAUGAUACAGUGUGAGCCAAGAUUUUUGGAUUUCAUAACUGAAUCACCGGCUUGUAUCCUGUUUUGAAACAUUAGCUCCCCACCCAGUGGAAUUCCAAGAAUAUGAAUUCUUCUUGCCGCAACAUACUGACGCCAACGAUGCAAUGACAGUUAUCCCAAAAUACCUGCAAUUCUCUGGAGGUCAACGUGACAUUUUUCCAACUACAUGAACAAACUUCUGCAAACUGUAUUUCCUUGAUAUUUUAGGGCAUAAUUUAGUACGGCGCCCCCUGUGGAAAAAAUCCCUCAGCUUUGGACAAUGUAAAAAAAAAAAUUACUUUAACCGGUCAUAAAGUGGCAUCAAUAUGAUUUUCAUUUUGUUUCAUAAGCAUCUAAAAACUCCUCAUUUGUUUGAUCUAUGUUUAAUGAUCUUGGGGUCUUUGAGGACAUGACAGAUGCACAUAUUUUUGCAGAUGAAUGUCCAAAGCAAAUGGUCCAAAAUAAAGUUUGUAGCUUUGCUGCAGGCGUGGUUGCAGCGCAGAAGGUGCUGCUGUUCUCCUCUCUUGGUGGACGUCUUGUUUAGCAAUGAGGCUCUAUGUUUCUAAAGUGGUACACAUGUAGUACAUUGUGAUAAUGAGCCUUAGUGAGCUCAUUGAGCAGCUGUUGAGUGUAAUUAGUAUUUAAUCUUGGAGAGGAGAGUGCUGUGAAUAUUCACACUUUGAUCAACACAGCCAGCCCAUCAUCUCCUGUCCUCUCAUUUCAUUUUCUCCUUCCUUCCUUCAUUUAUUCAACUCCUCCUCCUCCUCCUCCUUUUUUCUCCUCCUUCUUCUCCCUGCCCCCAUCCCCUUCCUCCUCCUCCUCUUUUUCCACUUGUUUGCGCUCCCAGAGGAGCAUGAGCUGUUUGCAUGUUAAUGUGGGAAAAGCUCCCCUCCUUAAUUCUUCUCUCUGCUUGCGUGUUUAUUCCUUCACACACUCUCUCUCUUUGCUUAUUUUUGUCUCUGAGGUAAUUUUAUAGCUUUAUUAUGAAAUUGUAUAAUCAGUAUGAUAAUAUAUUUACGCCCCAAAGGCCGGGAUGUACCACUCAGUCGUAACUUGUGCCCUGUGGAGACCUGUAAUCUUCACAGCUUUUUUGAAACUCGUAAAAACGACAAGAAAAAAGAUUUUCCACCGAAGCACACCACUGACAUGUUCUUUCUUUUCUUCUGUGUCGCUUGUGGUGAUCUUGGGGCCUGCAACAAUCUUUGAACGUACUACAGAGGAACUGUCGCAGCAGUCAGUUACAGUGGAAAACAACAACAACCCAGAGAAGAAACUUGUAUUUUCUUGAAUUUCUAAGGAGAAAAAUCUGCAAGUCAGAUCCCGUCACAAAGAAUUUAUACAGUUUGGACCUUUGGCAGACGUGUUAAAAAACAGAGGUUACAUGAUGAUUGAUACUGUGCAUUGUAAAUCUUUUAGUAAUUCAAUAGUUUCUUGGUUUAAGGAACAAGGGAUCCAACAGUGAUUUGUGCCACAAUGCUAAUCAGUAAAGGCAUUCAAAUGCAAUCACUGACAAUUAUAGCCUGCUGAAAGUGUGUUAUUCUGCGGAUAAGUUAGUGCAUGUGUGUAUGUGUGUGUUUGAUUAGCCAGUGUCUCGCUGAUUAGUCAUCAAUCCUCAUGGUGCCAAACUGACUGUCAGCGAGACAACAAGCAGAAAUCAAGAGCCACUUUAUGCUUUGCUUAUAUAAAUCCAUACAUAUACGUCAAGGCUUCUUAAAACUCGACUCCAUCUGUGUGAAUUCAUCUCUGGUGGGUUUGUUUAUCAUGAGAUUGAUCAGUGUUUUUUCCAGUUUUUUCUACUCAUCCCCAUGUGGCACUUUGAUCUUUUGUUUUUCUUCACACACGGCUUUUUAAUCGUUAUUAUCUUCAACUUAGAUUUAUAUAGCAAACGCACCCUGUGUGGAGCGCUAAUUAUGACGUCCCUAGCGUUAUUCAACUCUGCUGCUUUGCAUGUUUGCAUGCUUGUGUGCCCACUUUCAUAUUUUUCCUGUGCAAAGCAGCAUGCAAAUCUGUGUUUUAGUAUUUCGCUUAUUGUUAUUCAGUCACUGCAGGUGAUUUCUAUGUUUGCCAUUAUUUUCAGUGCUGUUCAGCUCACGGCUAAAACAACAGAGUGAGGGCUGCUACAGUGAAAUAAAAAACAGUGGGAUUAGUGUGGACAGAGAGACAGAAGCCAGUGUGAGGAGGGGAUGCUGGCUGUAAAGUGACAGCAUCUGCAUGAAAAUUAAAAAAAUAAUAAUUAACAUUUGCUGGCCUGUCCCCUGUAAUUUUGUGUACCCUCAGUAAUGAUGAUUAGUAUUUGUGUUGCUAACACUUGUUUGUUACAGAGCGGCUGUGAUUCAUUAAUGUGCAAAUGUUGCAUUGCAGUGCUGAGGCAGAAUUCAUCUCAGAUUUUCCUCCCAAAUACUUUGCAUUCCUUUACCUUUCUAAUGCAAUAGAUUAACAUCCAAGGGCAGAUUAAUUACAAAGCAAAAGGAUGUGGAAGCGGGUACACUCAUGCCUUUGGGCAUAAACCUGUCUCUUGGUACCUUUUUGAGAUGGAUUUAACCAUAGCCCUCUUUAAACAUGCACUCCUGAAAAUACUUGGAAGUUUCAGCUUAGCCAACCUCUGAAAUGUUUUAAAUCUCUGCAUAUCUGCAGAAGUUGCUGUGCAAGGUUUAACUGAUAUCGAAGAUGGAGGGUGAAGCAGAGUCGGAUACUAUAACUAUAAGUAAAAAACAAAACAAAAAACAAGGCUUUAUGAAAAGAAAAUAAUAAUAGUAAUAAUAAAUAUAUUUUUUUUUUAUAAAAUCAAAGACAAGCCUAACAGGCAAUAAUAAUUAUUUGAAGAGUGGAAAAAAAAGACACACAAUGGUGAGUUGGAUCAAGAAUGAAGCAACAUGCGUUUUGAUGAAAAUACUGACUCAAUUAGAGUGUAAAUUUGACCUACAGAAAAGUAUUUUAACUCUGUGACAUAAAAAAUGUAAUUUGAUUUAAAAGUACAUUUUUAUCAGAGGCAGUCAAUCUUUUCAGGCUUAUAUAAUGUCCUGUACAAUGUCAAAACUUAAAGGUGGGGUAGGCAGGAAUCUGUUGAAGAAGCAUCUGUUUUUGUGGUGUAUUUACAAAAAAGCUUUUAAUAUCAGUCAGUAGUAUUGUUCAUUUAUGAAAUUUGGGAAUAUUAUGAUUUUGCUGUGUUUUGUUGUGUCUGUGUAGGCAACAUUUUAAAAUUUUUUGGGCGUCCUGCUCUUUCUGAUUGUAAACAAAGCCAUUCUCCGCCUCCCCCAACCUGAUUGGUUGUGAGGCAGACCCUGCUCCCUCGUGUUGUGAGUGUUACGGCCCACCCUUAGGCGGCCCUAUGGGGCAAACAACUAUCCUCAACUUUUUACCCAUCAAAUUAACAAACACCUUCAAAUGUUUAACAAGUGAUUUAAUGUGACAACAUAACAAAAUUGCAAAGUAAACACAAAGCACCCACAACACAAAGGAGAGGCAUUUGGUGGGGAACUGCUGCCCUGCUGCCUCUCAUUUGUGUUGUGGGUGCUUUGUGUUUACUUUGCAAUUUUGUUAUGUUGUCACAUUAAAUCACUUGUUAAACAUUUGAAGGUGUUUGUUAAUUUGAUGGGUAAAAAGUUGAGGAUAGUUGUUCGCCCCGUAGGGCUGCCUUCAGGUAGGGCGUAACAUGAGGCACGCUCCAUGCCCUCAAAUAAAAUUCAAGAGCCCUAAUGCUAACAAAAGUUAGCAUGCUACAACAUCGCACGGUAGAAACCAACUAGAAAGUAGGAAAAUUUU
rnacentral:lncRNA from 1 species